AUCAUCAAGAUCAUCGUUGUAAGUUUGUAGAUCCAUCGAUGGUCUCUAUCCAUCAAAUCAUUAUACGAUCGUUCAUGACCGUUGAAAUUGAAUUUUAUUGAUCGCUAUAGCUAGGGCUACCAGAUUGAGGCAGUCUUUUAUGAUGAUACUCUAACAAUAAUUGCAUAGUAAAAAUAAUUGACCUGUGACCCAUCUAGAUCAAUCCAUUUAGACCCGAUCCAACUGUUGUAAAAGACCCACAAGGCC
rnacentral:lncRNA from 1 species